rnacentral:snoRNA from 1 species
AACUCCAGAUCCCUUACCCAUCAGACUUAAACACUUGUCCAAGUGGUUAGAAAAUGGAAGAAAAAAUAAAAAUUGAAACAGACUUUAAAUUCUUUGCAUCACACAAAGCCCAGUUUCAAGCAGAC